GAUGAACGCUAGCUACAGGCUUAACACAUGCAAGUCGAGGGGAAACGAUAUUGGAAGCUUGCUUCCGAUAGGCGUCGACCGGCGCACGGGUGAGUAACGCGUAUCCAACCUGCCCAUCACUUGGGGAUAACCUUGCGAAAGUAGGACUAAUACCCAAUGACGUCUCUAGAAGACAUCUGCAAGAGAUUAAAGAUUUAUCGGUGAUGGAUGGGGAUGCGUCUGAUUGGCUUGUUGGCGGGGUAACGGCCCACCAAGGCGACGAUCAGUAGGGGUUCUGAGAGGAAGGUCCCCCACAUUGGAACUGAGACACGGUCCAAACUCCUACGGGAGGCAGCAGUGAGGAAUAUUGGUCAAUGGGCGAGAGCCUGAACCAGCCAAGUAGCGUGCAGGAUGACGGCCCUAUGGGUUGUAAACUGCUUUUAUAAGGGAAUAAAGUGAGAGUCGUGACUCUUUUUGCAUGUACCUUAUGAAUAAGGACCGGCUAAUUCCGUGCCAGCAGCCGCCGUAA
rnacentral:rRNA from 1 species